UACGUAUGGGGCAAGCGUUAUCCGGAUUUACUGGGUGUAAAGGGAGCGUAGGCGGCAGGGCAAGCCUGAUGUGAAAGCCCGGGGCUCAACCCCGGGACUGCAUUGGGAACUGCCCUGCUGGAGUGCCGGAGGGGCAGGCGGAAUUCCUAGUGUAGCGGUGAAACGCGUAGAUAUUAGGAGGAACACCAGUGGCGAAGGCGGCCUGCUGGACGGUGACUGACGCUGAGGCUCGAAAGCGUGGGGAGCAAACAGG
rnacentral:rRNA from 1 species